rnacentral:lncRNA from 1 species
UUUAAUCAUUUUCAUUUCAUAUUUGUAUAAAUUAUGUCAUUUUAGUUCCAUUUCAUACUUAUAACCAAUUUAAACAUCUUUCUACAACCGUAAUCGCAAAACUCUUAUACUUAACCUCUACUUCACCUAGGUACAUGCCACAUUAUCAAAACAAAGGUACAUAACUAAAAUUUCUCUGAGGUCGGGAUUGCUCUGGAUGCUGGACCAAACACUGGCUUUCUACUAACCUACGCACGGAAACAAUCGUACGCUGAGUAUAGGUAUACUCAGUGGUAUUACCAUAAUUCAAAUUAAUAACAUUAAUCGAUAAAUUAUAUACAUUUAAUUUAUGUCUACAAUUAUUCAUUAAUUAUCUCAUACUUUAAAUCAACUUGAUAAUUAAUAACAAUAAGCAAUAUUUCAAAUCUUGUAUUUAAUUGUAGUCAUACCACCUUAUUUCACUAUCUCAAUUCCAUUGGAUUUUUCACAUCUCAUUCCAAUACUUCAUUUCAAUUCAUAUACAAUUCAUUCAAUUUAUCACUAUAUUCAAUAUCAAUUCUAUUCCAAAUUGUACUCACUAAUAUCAUAUAACAAAAAUUUAUUCUUAAUCACACCAUGAACUUUGGGUUCAUAUCUUCAAAUCUCAUAUAUCGAUUUCCAAUUCACAUAUCAAUUCACAAUUUCACUUUCUCAUCUCUUUCCAUAGCUCAAUCAAUCACACUUAUUCAAUUUUUCUUAUUUUAAUUAUUUACCCCUAUUAACAAGACUCGGACCUUGGUGGAUACACGGAUCCAACCAAACACACCAAAAUAGCACCCAGUGCCUCAUCGGAUAGUUCGAAGCAAUAGUUGACACUCAGUGUCUCAUCGGCAGAGCUGAAGAAAGUUGGUACCCAAUACCUCAUCGAAACUAUUCGAAGAAAUAUAGUGACACCCAGUGUCUCGUCGACUCAAGGUCGAAAAAUCCCUGAACUCUUCCAAUCCUAUGGCAUGCCAACUAUAUCCGACUCAGUCCGACUAGUUAAUAGGGUAUUCAAAUCAUUUUUUUUCUAUUUCAAAUUCACUUACAAUUCAAUCACAAUUCAUUUCAAAUUCACUCUCACUCUCUAAUCAAUAUACAAUUCAAUACCAAUACAUUUUUCCACUUUCCAAUCAAUGUACCAUCAAAUACUCAUAUAUAUUCAUACUUCAUUUCAAUUUCAUUCAAUUCACAAUUUCUCAUGUUCACAAUUCAAAUCAAUUUCUCAUUCCAAUAUGCAUUUCAAUAUUACAUUAAUUCAUUUAAUUCAAAUCAUAUCACUAAUAAUUUCCAUUCACUUCACAUACAAUUCAAUAUCAUUUAAUUCAAUAUCGAUAUUCACCUUAUUUUUAUUUACUAAACAUAUUAUUCAAAAUUCAACAAUUGCUAUUAAUAAAUUCAAUACCAAUACGUAUUUAUCAUUCAAUUCAAUCGUGAUAAUUACCUCAAUUUGCUUAUCGUGUAUAUUAAUUUAAAAUUUAACAAUUAAUAAUUAAAUUUAAAUUAUGAUAAUACUAACCGAAAUUUCUCUCGAGUCACUCCUUGUUCACCUUCUCAUUUCCUUUCUCGGACAAUGACUCUUGCACGACAUUAGCUACGUAAUUAAACAAUUAAAAAUCAUUAAUACACAAUUUCAUCAAAAUAUUUCCAUUUAUACCUAAACUUUACCUAGAUUCUAAUUUAAUCCCUUAUCAAUACUAAUUUUAUUUUCCCAAUCUAACUCCAUAUUCUCUCUUAAUUCUUACUAUAAACUCAUUUUAACUCUUCAAUUUCACCAUAAAUUCCAAAUUUCGAGAUUCUUUCAAUUUAGUCCCUACUAUUCAAAACUUACACUUUAUUUUACAAUUAAAUCCUUUACUAACUUCUAAUUUGAAAUUAAAUUAAUUUAACCCCCAAUUCAUCAUUUUUCCACACAUGAACCAUGCCUAAAAAAUCUAAUAUCUUACAAAAUUUCAAAAUACUUUGUUCUAGGAUUCCAAAAACAUCAAAACUAAGAGAAAAUGGACUAAAUUAACUUACCAAUUGAAGCUUGAAGCUCAAAAACCGUAUUUUUCCAUUUUAUUUUCUUUCUUUCUUUCUUUUUCCUUCUUUCCUUUCGCUUUUUCGUUUGCCUAUUCUGUUCUAUUUCUCUUUUUCUAUUCUUUUAUUUCUAUUAUAUUUU